rnacentral:lncRNA from 1 species
GUCCUGGGAGGGACAGGCGGGUUGGCAUCCUAGAGGAGUUUAGCAGCAGUAAAACGGUUAAUGUGUUACAGAUGGGCUCUUCCUACCACUCUGGAUUGAUGAGCAAAUUGUGCUGCAUUAGCUGAAUGAAUGGUAUGCUGUUCUAAUCCUAAUUUUUUUGAAAUGAUAUAAAUCUGCAUAUCUAAUGUUGGAUGCAUUGACUGUUUACCUCCGGACUGACUGCAGAGGAGAAGGCUCCGCUUUGGAAUAUGGUGCCCAACUCCUGUAUUUCAGCAUUCUCUGUGCCGGUGGUCGUUCUCUGCUGCUUGAUGGUGACAACGGAAUCAGACAAAUGUCUCAGCUUUUCGCAGACCAUCUCAAAAUGUGGUAAGC